GCCUUCGUGGUGUAGUGGUCCGCACACUCGACGGGUAACCGAGAGUUCCGUGGUUCGAUUCCCUGCGAGGGCA
rnacentral:tRNA from 1 species